AGGGAUCAUUACCGAGUUUACAACUCCCAAACCCAAUGUGAACGUUACCAAACUGUUGCCUCGGCGGGAUCUCUGCCCCGGGUGCGUCGCAGCCCCGGACCAAGGCGCCCGCCGGAGGACCAACCAAAACUCUUAUUGUAUACCCCCUCGCGGGUUUUUUUAUAAUCUGAGCCUUCUCGGCGCCUCUCGUAGGCGUUUCGAAAAUGAAUCAAAACUUUCAACAACGGAUCUCUUGGUUCUGGCAUCGAUGAAGAACGCAGCGAAAUGCGAUAAGUAAUGUGAAUUGCAGAAUUCAGUGAAUCAUCGAAUCUUUGAACGCACAUUGCGCCCGCCAGUAUUCUGGCGGGCAUGCCUGUCCGAGCGUCAUUUCAACCCUCGAACCCCUCCGGGGGGUCGGCGUUGGGGAUCGGCCCUGCCUUGGCGGUGGCCGUCUCCGAAAUACAGUGGCGGUCUCGCCGCAGCCUCUCCUGCGCAGUAGUUUGCACACUCGCAUCGGGAGCGCGGCGCGUCCACAGCCGUUAAACACCCAACUUCUGAAAUGUUGACCUCGGAUCAGGUAGGAAUACCCGCUGAACUUAA
rnacentral:rRNA from 2 species